rnacentral:lncRNA from 1 species
CCCAUUGUCACUACCCUGCCAGAGAAGAGUUGGAGGGCCGGAGUCUCGUAAAUCAAAGCGUCGCAUCAUGGAGACACAGGUCAGCGCCUCUGUCUCAGGAGGAGGGGGGUGGGGGUCUGGGCCACUAUUCCUGGCUUACAUUUUCUUCCUCUUAUUUUUUUUAAAUGCACCCAGGUAAACAUCCUUGUGUGACCCAAAUAACCCGUCAUUCUCACAGAGCCGUCUCCUUCAGCCUUGCUGCUCCUUUCACACUCCGCUGCCUCUGUGUUUGUUCUCUCCUCCCAGCAGGAACCUUAAAGCCUGCUAAUGUGUUAGAGAACACAAAUAGAUUAAAAGUAGCUUUGAGAAACGUGGUGGCGCUCCGCUAAAAUGUAUAAUUCAGAUCCAAUCUUGCUAAAACCUGCUCUUGUAUUUCAGCAACACCUGCGAUUCAACGACACAUUUAUCAGCAUCAUCAGAGCCGAUUCCCAGCGGACGGCUCUGAAACAAGCAGUCUCACAUGUGCUGGUUACUAUUUUUACUCUGCAUUCUUAAGCGUGAACGUUCGUCGUGCUUUGUUCCUCCUACACAUCGCUCUGAUCUGUGUAUGUGCACGUAGUGAAAUCCUGGAACAAUACGCUCUGCACUGCUCCUGUUUUUCUCUCCACUUUGGCUCAUCCAAGCUCCAUUGUUCUCCUCUGACGGAUGCUAAUCUCAGUCUGUCUUGGAGGAGUAGGUCUGAGGAAAGUGAGAUGGGUAAGAAUGCUGAUAUGCGGAGUCUGGGAUCACUUCCAAGUGCACUUUGCAGUCAAUUACAUUUUGGCCAGGUGGCGCUGGCACCUUGACAGCGCUACUCUGACAGAACGUCUCUGUUUAAAGGUGCAGACAUAAACCGAAGCCUCUGAUUAAUAAUCUCCCAUCAUAACCGCCAUGCUACAGAAGUGGCUCGGUGUGCUGCUGUGUGGUGACCACCUCCUAGGUGAUGCUUUUACUUUGUAUGAGUCAGCAGCAGCUUCCUCACUAACCCUUUGGGCUGUGGACAGUUUACAAAAAACACAAAAUACCCCAAAACCUGAACUUGACACUCGAGCGAGCACAAAGGUAACAGUUUUGGAGGGACUGAUGAUGUUGGUUCAGACACCAGCUGAUCCCUGUGUCUCCCCUCUGCCCAGACCUGUCAACCCCCGGUUACUGCCAACCCUGUUGAGCUGCUGCCAUGUUGCCAUGGCUACAUGGGAGGAGCCAACCUUUACAACUCCAGGAAGUCGGAGGAGGAGCUUAACAUGUGCCCUCCUCCCAAACGAAUGUAUGCCUUCUACCACAGCACUUACAACGGAAACACUACUGCAUUUCCCAGGAAUCUUCAUCACUACAACAGCACGGCAGACACCUGCAGACUUACACCAGCGUGCUUCCCUUAUUCCUUUGACUCCAGUGGAAACCAUCACCACCAUCUCUACCAGCACCACCACCACCAGCACCAGCCAGGCCAGAAGCAGCUGGAGCCCCUCGUCCUGCGUGACGUCCCUCCCUAUCAGGCCGGUGUGGGCGCGGGGGGAGGUGUUGGAGCAGGAGGCAGAGCAGGGAUGGGGAUGGGAGGGGGUGAUGGGACUGUAG